AACGAACGCUGGCGGCAGGCCUAACACAUGCAAGUCGAGCGAGGACUUCGGGUCUAGCGGCGGACGGGUGAGUAACGCGUGGGAAUGUGCCCUUCUCUACGGAAUAGCCCUGGGAAACUGGGAUUAAUACCGUAUACGCCCUAUUGGGGAAAGAUUUAUCGGAGAAGGAUCAGCCCGCGUUGGAUUAGGUAGUUGGUGGGGUAAUGGCCUACCAAGCCGACGAUCCAUAGCUGGUUUGAGAGGAUGAUCAGCCACACUGGGACUGAGACACGGCCCAGACUCCUACGGGAAGCAGCAGUGGGGAAUCUUAGACAAUGGAGGCAAACCUGAUCUAGCCAUGCCGGGUGAGUGAUGAAGGCCUUAGGGUUGUAAAGCUCUUUCAGCUGGGAAGAUAAUGACGGUACCAGCAGAAGAAGCCCCGGCUAACUCCGUG
rnacentral:rRNA from 1 species